rnacentral:rRNA from 1 species
GCUUGUCUCAAAGAUUAAGCCAUGCAUGUCUAAGUACAAGCCUCAGUAAGGUGAAACCGCGAAUGGCUCAUUAAAUCAGUUAUAGUUUAUUUGAUGGUUCUUGCUACUUGGAUAACCGUAGUAAUUCUAGAGCUAAUACAUGCGUCAAACCCCGACUUCUGGGAGGGGUGUAUUUAUUAGAUGGAAACCAAUGCGGGGCAACCCGGUAUAUGGUGAUUCAUAAUAACUUUCGGAUCGAUCUUCGGAUCGAUGCAUCAUUCAAGUUUCUGCCCUAUCAGCUUUGGAUGGUAGGGUAUUGGCCUACCAUGGCUUUAACGGGUAACGGAGAAUUAGGGUUCGAUUCCGGAGAGGGAGCCUGAGAAAUGGCUACCACAUCCAAGGAAGGCA